ensembl:lncRNA
AAUAGUAAUGGAUACUUAAAGGCAAAUUUUUCUGUGGGAAGCUUCUACUACUAGCAAAAUGCUGGCUUUUUUCAUUCCCAUAUUUUUCAGAUCACUUAGGAAGUUGCUAUUAAAAUUUUAUAUAUAUAGCACCUACAGAAUACUGGGGAAACAUUUCUGAAUUCUCAGGCACUGUGGGUAUUUGCCUGGCCUGUAUGUGACCUUUAGUAAGACCAGGCUGAGUGAGCACAAGAGAAACAUGGGCUUUUGUAAGAAGCAAGAGGAACCAUUCCAAAUGGGCCUGCCCCAUUGUCUAAAUAUGUUGUUACAGUUCCAUUAUUCCUUUCCCCCUGCCAAAAAGGUAUAUGAAAUCAUCUUUUUUACCACUAUUAGUAGAACACUAGGAAAAUUUAUAUUUUAUAUUAUCCUUGUCCCACAGAACCUAUAUGAUAGGACAGUAAAGAAAUCAGCACCAAAAAAAAGUAAAUAAUCUAUACACAAAUAAAAAGAAAGAAAUGUAUAGUUCCAAGCUAUCUAUGAACUUAGUAUGUAGUCAUGAAAGAUUUGAGAGAAAAUGGGAGCAUGAAAGCGAGCUAACGGAUGAACUGCUCAAACUCUUCUCACCCUGUGGUGCCAGAGACAGCUGAAAUUUUUAAUCAAUUUGUCACAUUUUCCAUUUUGUAUUUCUUCAGAUCUGUUCCAUCAUCCAAAAAAGAUGGUUUGGGGCUAAAAUAUAUACUUUCCUUUCUAACUGUAGAACUCUGUGGUUGAUUUUUUCAAAACUAAGUAAAAAAUUGACUGAAAUGACUCAAUAGCAUAAUUUUUAAGAUAAAGAAAUCAUUGAUUAUUCAAAAUUUAGAAAAGUUUCAUAUUGUCAGCAUUUUUGAAUCAAGCAUCCAUAUCCUGUGCAAUUAAACCAUAAACAAUAUUUUAUCAUAUGUAUGCCAGGGCUGAACUGUAGACAAAUAGAAAGGCAGUGUAAAUGUAGAUGCCUGCUGUCUACAAAUCAAGCCCUGAAGAUCAACAAGUGGGAGGGGAUGCUAAAUGCUCAUUUUCCUGUGAGAAUAGAAUCCCAUAAAGAAAAUAUUUGGCUACUACGGAGGAGAAAACCAUUACAUCAAGUUGUAUGCUUCACUGGAUAUUUAUUAAUGAACUUUCAUGAGUUGUAAUCACUCAUGUAACAUCUUUUAAAUAUGUGUCCUAAGUUCCUACAAUAAAUGAAGUACAAGUACUGCCCUAGGAUCAAUUUCAUUGGCAGCAAUAAUAUAACUAAAACCCUAUUCUAUGAGAAUUAAGAAA